UACAGAGGGGGCAAGCGUUGUUCGGAAUUACUGGGCGUAAAGGGCGCGUAGGUGGCCUUCUAAGUUGAACGUGAAAUCCCUGGGCUCAACCCAGGAACUGCGUCCAAGACUGGGAGGCUUGAAUCCGGGAGAGGGAUGCGGAAUUCCAGGUGUAGCGGUGAAAUGCGUAGAUAUCUGGAGGAACACCGGUGGCGAAGGCGGCAUCCUGGACCGGUAUUGACACUGAGGAGCGAAAGCCAGGGGAGCAAACGGG
rnacentral:rRNA from 1 species